UAGGGAAUCUUCGGCAAUGGACGAAAGUCUGACCGAGCAACGCCGCGUGAGUGAAGAAGGUUUCCGGAUCGUAAAACUCUGUUGUUAGAGAAGAACAAGGACGUUAGUAACUGAACGUCCCCUGACGGUAUCUAACCAGAAAGCCACGGCUAACUACGUGCCAGCAGCCGCGGUAAUACGUAGGUGGCAAGCGUUGUCCGGAUUUAUUGGGCGUAAAGCGAGCGCAGGCGGUUUCUUAAGUCUGAUGUGAAAGCCCCCGGCUCAACCGGGGAGGGUCAUUGGAAACUGGGAGACUUGAGUGCAGAAGAGGAGAGUGGAAUUCCAUGUGUAGCGGUGAAAUGCGUAGAUAUAUGGAGGAACACCAGUCGCGAAGGCGGCUCUCUGGUCUGUAACUGACACUGAGGCUCGAAAGCGUGGGGAGCAAACAGG
rnacentral:rRNA from 1 species